UCGGCUCGUACUUUGAAGACGAAACAGAAGGUCAUGAUGUACGGUAGAGAAACCAAAGGAAACAAGCAAUCGGCCCCUCCUCCACGUCCACAACCACAACGACCACCUCCACGGCAGCCACCAGCGCCACGUUUGAAAACUGCUGCACCUAGCGGAGGCGGUGGAGGCGGCGGCUCCUCGAAGACAUCAUCGUCUUAGCAUUGUAAAUGUCAAAGCUUCAACGCACCACCCAGAUGCAUCCGAUCUCAAUAUGCUGACCAAACCAAUAAGAGUUGAUGUGUUAUCAUUGACUCAGUGACCAGAUUUUAACCAGCAUGUCAGGAUGUGUUUUGCUUAAAGCAUCAUAAUAAAACUGAAUUUUAA